CAAUCCCUGAGUACAGUGGCGUACGGGUGAGUAACACGUGGGGAUCUACCUUUGGGUGGGGGAUAACUCUGGGAAACCGGAGCUAAUACCGCAUAAGCAGGGAACUGGAAAGCCGAAAGGCGCCGGAAGAGGAGCCCGCGGCCGAUUAGCUAGUUGGUGAGGUAACGGCUCACCAAGGCAAAGAUCGGUAGCCGGCCUGAGAGGGCACACGGCCACACUGGCACUGAAACACGGGCCAG
rnacentral:rRNA from 1 species